AACGUAGGAGACGAACGUUAUCCGGAGUUACUGGGCGUAAAGGGCGUGUAGGCGGUAUGUUAAGUCUGGCGUGAAAGCUCUCGGCUAAACCGGGAGAGGUCGUUGGAUACUGGCACACUAGAGGAUGGUAGAGGCGUGUGGAAUUCCGGGUGUAGCGGUGGAAUGCGUAGAGAUCCGGAAGAACACCAGUGGCGGAAGGCGGUUAGCUGGGCAGUUGCUGACACUGAGUGCGCGACAGCGUGGGGAGCAAACAGG
rnacentral:rRNA from 1 species